rnacentral:misc_RNA from 1 species
CUCUUGUUCAGGCCCCAAAAAACCCCUAACUCUGUUUUCCCUCGGUACAAACCAAAACCUAUAAAAUUCCCAUUUAAACCCUCAUCACCGGGCAGAAGAGAAAGUGGGGCUCCGUUUGUCAUCCGCUGUAAAACGGCGUCUCCGAUCUUCAUGGAUUCGUCGUUGUCGUCUCUGCACCUAGCCAUGGCGGCUCUAGUUGGUGCUUCGUUGAUGGCGAUUUCGGCUUUUUACAUUCACAAGCGCACUGUCGACCAAGUACUCGAUCGUCUCAUUGAAAUCCGCCUCGGUUCACCUAAAAGCUCCAAAAUGAAAUCAGU